UGUCUUAAUUUGUAGGGGCCAUUGUGAAUGCACUUGGAGCUAUUAUUAAAAAUUUUAAAAUUGCGAUCGGCUUACUCCUAGUUCAAAAAAUGGGAUCAUUCUCAACAGUGUAAUUCCACAAUCUUCAUCAAAAUUCCACUUCUUAAGUAAGUAAUGGCUUGCCCUGACUUGUUAUUGAAGAUAUUAGAAAUAUUUGAAGCCUUGUCGGCUUAUAUAAUUGCAGCCUGGUCGGCUUAUAUGAUUGCUUAUUAUACGAUGAACAAUUGCACAAGCGCACGUAGUAACUAUAUUUGAAACUAUAAUUGUGAGAUGAUUGAGAUAUUGUGUAAUUGUUUUUAAGGUUAAUCAUUGGACAUUAGAUAUUCACUCCUAUACUAUGCCUCCUAAACAUGAGUCUGGUGCUGAAAAGAGGAAAAGGAAACGAAAUGAAAUUGCAUUAAUUCAAAGCCAAGCAGAGGAUAUUAACAAGUACUUCAAAAGCAACAAUGUGCAUGUAUUGAAUGAGGAUGAAAUAGAGAUUCAACAUGCCUAUAUUAAUGAAGUAGAUGAUAAGGAUGAAGAAGUGAGUCAAUCUACAGAUGUUAAUGAAGUAGAUGAUAAGGAAGAAGAAGUGAUGAAGCCCGCCUCUAAUAAUGAAGAAGAUGGUAAGGAAGAAGAGGGUUGCUUUUCUCUAAAUUUGGGUGAUCCCGUGAAUUGGAAAAUUAUUGAUCAAAGAAUAAGGGAUUACUUAGUUGAAAGGGGUCCAAAAAGAGUUGAUGACAUCUCGUUUCCGAAAGAAUAUACAAAUAGACAUUUCGAUUCUUCACAAUAUAAGCGAUUGCUACCAAAUGGAAAAACAGUUGAUAGAAGAUGGCUAGUAUAUUCAGUGUCUAUGGACAAGAUCUUCUGCUUUUGUUGCAAGUUGUUUAAAACAUCAAUAAAUGUGACCAAAGUUGGCCAACUAGGUAAUGAUGGAUUCAAAUAUUUGGCAUAAUUUGCAUCGGUCUAUUAAAAGUCAUGAAGGAAAUGAGGAGCAUUUACAUUGCAUAACUAGCUGGAUUGAAUUGGAAAAUAUGUUUCGAUCAAAAACUACAAUUGAUAAAAGCGUUGAAUUGUUGAUUGAUACUGAAAGAGAACAUUGGAGACAUGUAUUAACAAGGAUAAUCGCUAUUAUGAAAAGACAUGCGAAAAACACAUUGCCAUUUCAAGGAGAUGAUGAGAGGCUACAUGUUGAGAACAAUGGCCUAUUUUUACAAAUGGUGGAAAUGGUUAUUGAAUUUGAUCCAGUAAUGCAAGAACACCUUCGGCGGGCUAAAGCAAGAGAGAUUCAAUAUAUGUAUCUUGGCAAAAAAAAUUCAAAAUGAGUUGAUAUAGUAGUUGGCUAAUCAGGUGAGAAGUUCAAUUGUCAAGAAAGUUAAACAUGUAAAAUAUUUCGCAGAGUUAUACUUGAUUGUACUCCAGAUGUAAGUCAUGAGGAGCAAAUUUCUUUAAUUGUACGAUUGUAGAUGAUUCGGCAAAAUUACCUACAAUUGAAGAACAUUGGCUAGAAUUUUUGAAGGUAGAUGACACAACAGGACUUGGACUUGCAACCGAGCUUCAAAAGGUUUUGAUAAAAAUUGAUCUCGAUAUUGAUGACAUUAGAGGGCAAGGGUAUGACAGCGGAUCUAACAUGAAUGGGAAGCACAAAGGUGUGCAAAGAAGAGUCCAUGAAAUGAAUUCCCGAGCUUUCUAUACUCCAUUUGGUGCUCAUAGUCUAAAUCUAGCAUUAUGUGAUAUGGUGAACUAUUGUUCCAAAGCUGUAUCCUUCUUUGGAGUGAUACAACGCAUCUACGCAUUGUUUUCCUCUUCUACCAAGCGAUGAAAAAUUUUCAAAGAUAAUAUACAAGGACUGACAGUGAAGCUAUUGUCACAAACACGUUAGGAAAGUCAUGUUGAAAGUGUGAAACCUAUAAUGGAGUAAACUGCACAGAUAAGAGAUGCAUUACUUGAUUUGGCAGUAAGUAAUGAAGAUCCUAAAGUGAAGAGUGAAGUCGAGUCGUUAGCAACACAUGAACUUCAAAAGUUUGAGUUUUUGCUUGGCAUGAUAAUCUGGUACAGAUUGUUGUAUGCUGUCAAUAUUGUGAGUAAAUUUCUUCAAACCGAAUCCAUGGAUAUUGAUCAUGCUAUCGACCUCUUGCAAGGACUUGUUUCAUUUCUUGAAGAAUACAGAGAAAUUAAAUUUGCUAUUGCCAAAGAUGAAACGAUAAAAAAGGCAAGCGAAAUGGAAAUUGAAGCUGUAUUUACAGAAAAACGUAUAAUUCGAAGAAAAAACAAUUUGAUGAAAGCGGUAGUGAUGAGGUAAAGCAAUCAAUAGAAGAAUCUUUUAGAGUUGAGUACUUUAUUUUUAUAAUUGAUCAAGCUCUAUCUUCUCUGAGGACCCGAUUUGAACAAUUCAAACAAUAUGAUUACAUAUUUGGAUUUUUGUUUAAUUUAAAAAGGUUAAGGAGUGCAAUUUUUUCAAGUUUGUUGAACUCUUGUUUGAAUCUUGAGAAAUAUCUUUAACAUGAUGGGUGUUCGGACAUCAGUGGGGAUAAUUUAUGUUCGGAGUUAUAAGUCUUGAGGUGUUAUAUAACAAGUGAAGUAACAAGAGCAAUUGAAGUGCUACAAUAUUGGAAGACAUUGGAUGUUUAUUUUUCAAAUGCUUAUAUUGCUUACCAAAUUUUUUUUAAACAUACUGGUUACAGUUGCAU
rnacentral:lncRNA from 1 species